AAACCCUCAAGCACUGCUUGGUGUUGGGCACCUGUCGCGCACUCACGCGCCGACUUGCCCCAAAUGUAUUGGCAGGCCUGCUUGCCGGCCCCAGCGCAGCAGUUCGCGCCCUGAGGCCCGCGUGCGGCAGCCACAACCCCCCUUUCUCA
rnacentral:misc_RNA from 1 species